UCAUUCUGGCUCUGCAAACGGCAUGCCCACCAUUCAAGGGUCUCAAAAUAACCAAUCACCGAAAAGCUCGGCGACUCGGGCAGUACCGGUGGAGGAAAUAUUCAGGCGACUUUUCAAUUUGAAGAAGGAUUUCAAUACUGAAACGUCAUGUGUCCAUUCGCAGAUGCUGUUGCCUCGCUGUUUUGCAACAACACUCUGUGUUUUGACCAAGAUUCAUGUAUUUGCAGUCUCUUGAAUCUCCUAAUGUCUGUCUUCCUGACCAGGUCUCCUCUGCCAAUCUUUUAGCCAGAGGGCAAAAGAGACAGUGCUGCCCUCCUUGCCAGUAAAUCUCCAGAUUGUGUGGAGAUAGUUGAAGUACGGGACAGUUUGGAAACUUACAUACAGGAGUCCUGAGAUGCAAACCAAAUUAUUACCGUUUUAAGAACAUACCGUUAAAAGAGCACUUGGAUUGGAUUGCAGUGGUUGAAUUGGUUGCAGUGAUUGGAUUGAUCCCAAACUGGUUUAAGUCAAGUCACUUAUAAAGGUCUCCUCUGCCAAUCUUUUAGCCAGAGGGCUAAAGAGACAGUGCUGCCCUCCUUGCCAGUAAAUCUCCAGAUUGUGUGGAGAUAGUUGAAGUAUGGGACAGUUUGGAAACUUACAUGCAGGAAUCCUGAGAUGCAAACCAAAUUGUUACCUUUUAAGAACAUACCGUUUAAAGAGCAUGAUUGGUGAUUGGAUUGAUCCCAAACUGGUUUAAGUCAAGUCACUUAUAAAGGUUUCCUCCGCCAAUCCUUUAGCCAGACGGCUAAAGAGACGGUGCUGCCCUCCUUGCCAGUAAAUCUCCAGAUUGUGUGAAGAUAGUUGAAGUAUGGGACAGUUUGGAAACUUACAUACAGGAAUCCUGAGAUGCGAACCAAAUUGUUACCGUUUAAGAACAUACCGUUAAAAGAGCACUUGGAUUGGAUUGCAGUGGUUGAAUUGGUUGCAGUGGUUGGAUUGAUCCCAAACUGGUUUAAGUCAAGUCACUUAUAAAGGUCUCCGCCAAUCUUUUAGCCAGAGGGCUAAAGAGACAGUGCUGCCCUCCUUGCCUGUAAAUCUCCAGAUUGUGUGGAGAUAGUUGAAGUAUGGGACAGUUUGGAAACUUACAUACAGGAAUCCUGAGAUGCAAACCAAAUUGUUACCUUUUAAGAACAUGCCGUUUAAAGAGCACGAUUGGUGAUUGGAUUGAUCCCAAACUGGUUGAAGUAAAGUCACUUAUGAAGACCUUGUUAGCAGCGUGUGAUGGUCAUCUAAUUCGUAUCUACCCAGGCUGGACCAUAUGAAAUCACUGUAUCUUCUGAGAAAAUUGUGGAUUAAUUGAAGUUUUGUUGAGAGACCAGAAAUAAAAAUUUACCACAGCAGAAUUGUGCACCACUACAUUCUAUAAUCUCAUAACCUGGACAGUCUUCGGGGAGGAAGCGGCCGCUUCAGUCCAAGCCGCUGAAGAAUGUUCACCCGACGCCGAUGAUCCAGCCUCGCGGCAGAGGGCCUGAAAACAUCGGGUUGGCUGAGGAGGCCACAUAUAGACCCCAACCUCGGGUGGACUAUGAGGGGGAGAACUGGAUAUUUUUAGUGCCUUCCCUUACAGUGAAUUCUGCUGUGGGGGGACGUUUCUUGUUGAUUUCUAUAGUGUACUGUUCUGUGUCUUUUUUCUUUUUCUUUUUUAUUUUAUAUGGAUUUAUUGACAUUUAAUCUAUUCAAUUAGUUUAAUCAAUCUCUGUAAAGCACUUUGGUUCAAAGUGAUUUUGUUUAAAAGUGCUAUAUAAAUAAAUAUUACUACUAUCCCUCCAAUUGUGUUCAUCUUUGAAA